UGGGGAAUUUUGGACAAUGGGCGAAAGCCUGAUCCAGCAAUGCCGCGUGUGUGAAGAAGGCCUUCGGGUUGUAAAGCACUUUUGUCCGGAAAGAAAUCCUUGGCUCUAAUACAGUCGGGGGAUGACGGUACCGGAAGAAUAAGCACCGGCUAACUACGUGCCAGCAGCCGCGGUAAUACGUAGGGUGCAAGCGUUAAUCGGAAUUACUGGGCGUAAAGCGUGCGCAGGCGGUUUGCUAAGACCGAUGUGAAAUCCCCGGGCUCAACCUGGGAACUGCAUUGGUGACUGGCAGGCUAGAGUAUGGCAGAGGGGGGUAGAAUUCCACGUGUAGCAGUGAAAUGCGUAGAGAUGUGGAGGAAUACCGAUGGCGAAGGCAGCCCCCUGGGCCAAUACUGACGCUCAUGCACGAAAGCGUGGGGAGCAAACAGGAUUAGAUACCCUGGUAGUCCACGCCCUAAACGAUGUCAACUAGUUGUUGGGGAUUCAUUUCCUUAGUAACGUAGCUAACGCGUGAAGUUGACCGCCUGGGGAGUACGAUCGCAAGAUUAAAACUUAAAUGAAUUGACGGGGUCAUAGCUG
rnacentral:rRNA from 1 species